GAAGGCAGAGAACGCCCAAUGAGAACCCCCCUGGUGCACACAGACUCUACAGCAGCAGCCAGUGAGCAGGGAGCAGAUUUGCAUGAAGGGGCCGUUCUCCAGCUCUGAGGGUUUAAGAGAGAAUCGGAGGGUCCCAGCCAGAGACCCGUUUGCCUCAGGAAGCCGAGCUCGUCUGGAUUCCCGCCAUGGCCUGGGCCCCUCUGCUCCUUGGGCUGUUUGCUUACUGCUCAGGUUCCCUCUCCCAAUAUACUCUGACUCAGCCGCCCUCAGUGUCCAUGUCCAUUGGCAACACAGUUAAACUCUCCUGUGCCAUCGACAGUGGAUACACAUUUGGAGAUGUCGCCUGGUACCAGCAGAAAGAUGGGAAGAGUCCAAGAUAUCUUCUGAGGUACAACAAAGAGACUAACAAACAACAGGGCUCUGGGGUCCCCAGUCGCUUUGCUGGUUCCAAAGACGCCUCUAAUACAACCUGCUACUUAACCAUCACCAGCGUCCAAGCGGAGGAUGAGGCUGACUAUUACUGUGGCACAGGGGGUGGUGGUGCUGCACAGUGACACAGCCAGAUGGGGAGCUCAGACACAAACCUGCUCUUCCCUCUUCCAACGCUGUAUGAGUUCAUCAUGUGUCAGCGCUAAGUUAUGAUCAUUCACCCAGUCUGAAAGCAUUGAGGUGCCCCAUGCGCUGCCCCACUCCCCUGUGAUGACAGCUCACUGACUUGAUCUGGAAAUUUAAGGCAAAGACUUUGUCCCAGGGAACUGAACAGCAGUUUUAACAUUUCUUCAAAGGGAUCAGGGUUUGAGCCCUACAAUGCAGUGCUCCGGCAGCAAUGAGAUUCAGUUAUAAUCCUAAAAGAAACAUUCCUAAAUCCAGUUCCCAGAUACAUGCUGUGAGAGGAGGUAGUUUGUGUUUAUUAAAUACUAGCCGAUUCUUCAGUGAAAUCCAAGUGAAACUCAGAGCCCGAAGAGCUGGGUGUUAGAUCCCAGAGCCCAGGCAUUUCACACACAAGAACAAAGCCAGGGUAGGAAAGGAACAGAUCCUGGCCAUGAUCGAACAGCACCAUGAGGAUCAAACGAGCCUGCGAAAUGACCAGGAUAAACAAGACACAGAAGGGGCUCCCCCUGGUGGGGAUAUUGAGAGCAAUCGAGUAGUAAAGACCCCACCACUCGCCCCAGUCCUGUUAUUGGCGUAUCUGACAAGUCAUGGGAGUACCUAAGUCCUAACUAUUCCUCAAGUGGAUAUGAGCCCAGAGGGACUAAUUGGAGGGACGCAAUAACACGCAGCCACACUCAUAAAUGACAAACUGAGCAGUAGGUAGUUGGGACCUGUCAUGAAUCUCUCCUUAAACUCCAGAGACUAGAGAGAAUAAAAUGUGAUUUGAGAUGCACCUGGAUUUUCCCCGUCUACUCUUCUGCACAUGUCACCAUAGUUCAGUUAUGACUGGGCACCAGGGGGC